AUGAUUUUGCUUUGAUAAUUGCCCUCUUUAUAGAAAAAGAGCUAGGUUUUUCUUCUUUCGUUGAUUAUGAUCAUUUUCCUUGAUUUUUGGGUUAUCUCAAGCCUUUUAGAAUAUUUUUCUCUUGAUUUUCGGCCUAAAUCUUUGCUUGAAUAAUAUCUUUUUUUGGAUUUUAAAAGUGCAAAUUUUAAUUUAAAUAUGCUGCUAUGUGUGACUCUU
rnacentral:lncRNA from 1 species